rnacentral:rRNA from 1 species
UACAGAGGUGGCAAGCGUUGUUCGGAAUUACUGGGCGUAAAGGGCGCGUAGGCGGCCUUCUAAGUCAGACGUGAAAUCCCCAGGCUUAACUUGGGAACUGCGUCUGAUACUGGGAGGCUUGAGUGCGGGAGAGGGAUGUGGAAUUCCAGGUGUAGCGGUGAAAUGCGUAGAUAUCGGGAGGAACACCAGUGGCGAAGGCGGUACUCUGGGCCGGAACUGACGCUGAGGAGCGAAAGCGUGGGUAGCGAACAGG